AUAAAUCAUUAAAUUUAAAAGAUUUGGCUGUAUUUUAUAGAAUUAGAGGAAUCUGUUUAUUAAUUGAUAUUCCACGAUAAGAAAUACUUAAUAUUUAUGUAUUGCUGUUUACAGAAUAUUAUUAAUUAAAUAUUUAAAUUUUUAAUUUAAUUUAUUUCAAGUCAAAAUAUAGUAUAAUUAAGUAAUGGAUUACAAUUUAAUUUUGAAAUUGGAUUUAAAAGUAA
rnacentral:rRNA from 1 species